rnacentral:lncRNA from 1 species
AAAUUUUGAAAGUACAUUUUGGGACAUUAGAAGGGCUGCCACAUAAUUCAAGACUCUCCACAUAGGCAUAUUAAAUUUAGUUAUAUUGUAAUUUAGUUGUUUAGGAUUUUUUUUGAAUCAACUUGUACAUUGUUGGCCAAUUUUGGCAAAAGAUGUUGGGCCCAAAAAUGGGGGUUGGCUGACUUGGCACCCUAGGUUUUUGGUGCCAACCGCCACCCACAUAAAAGGAGGCACAUUCCAUUUUGAAGGGGUGCUAGAAUGGUGAGCACGGUUACGUCCACUAGCCGCCACCACAUAAGACAUUUCAUAUUUUUCAUUUAAGGCACACAGAUAUGGAGAAGAGGUGACGACUGGGGAAUAAAAGGGGGAUGUCCAGCAAUAGGAGAAAGUUGGAGGUGUCACGGAAAGAGCACACACGCUCAUUUCAUUUUAGGCUGGAAAAGGCGCUGCAUUCAUUUUCGUCUUGAGAGAAACUCGCGAUGAUUUAUCUUUGGAGCUGCAAGCGAUGUGCACACAUUGGACGUCCUGGAAGAAGUGAUGCACACGAAGACAUUGAUUCAAUUGCAAAGGCAAGCGGUGAUUCACUUUCUUUUUAUGUGCUUUGGAGUGCUACAUGGUGCUUCAUGAUGGAGAGCUCCAAAGGGUUUCCUUGAUUUAUCUUUAAGCCUGCAUCGAGAAUCUUUAAUGCAUUAAUGGAAGCACCUUGCUCGUUUAUCUUACUUUACUGUUAGCGUGUUUUUCUUUAAACUGUUGAUUCUGUGAUUAUCAGAAUUUCAUUUUUUUCAUUAGUUCAACGUUGGGAUAUUUUGUUUUCGUAAUGUGUUUUGCUCGUUGCACUUAAAAUUGGUUCAAGAACUUUUUGCAUAUUUUUUUAAUUCUCGUUGCGUUAUGUUUCAAUAGUUAACACCUUUUUUUCGUUGAAAUUUUAUUCCAAGCUGCAAUGCGCAUUUUGUUAUUAGCCAAGCAUUUUUUAUUAUUAUCGUUGCAUUGUGGAUUUGAUGUUUUAGAUUAAGUGUUGUAUUUUAAUUAGUUCACACAUGUUACUUUAGGACCGUUCAGUUUACUAUUUUCAUUCACUUUAAUGUUGUCUAUUCUGUUCAGCUGUCAUAAUUUAGUUGCAAUGUUGGCUUUAGUGUCCAACUGUUUUAAUUCUGUUUUUACAUUUGUGUUUUCAUUUAGUUCAUUUGCAUUCACAAACUCUUCACCAACCCCCUACUACGUGUUUGACCAAAUUCUCGAACCACAUUUGGUUCUUGAGAGACGACCUAGAAGUCACUUCCUAGUCUAUACUGCAUUCUUAUUGCACAUUAAAUUUGACUCGGGUGCGACACCGAUCAAAUUUUGGCGUCGUUGUCGGGGACCAACGGUUCGGUCUUAGGUAUUUUGUUGUGUUAGUGUGUGUUGUGUUUUAUCUUGUGCUGUGAGUGUGUUGUUCUAUUUUGUGUGUGUUGUCAUGUGUAUUGCAUAUAGAUAGUUUUAGUUGCAUAUUUUCAUUGCAUUCUUCUUUUCCCCCUGCUUUCACCAUGUCUACUUAUUUUGAUUAUGAACAUAUUGUUUCUUCUGCCUGUGCCUAUAAUUAUGAUUCUCCUUGUGCAUGUUACUAUGAUUAUGGUUCUCAUGCUGAUUUCUAUGUUAAGAACAAUAUGACUCAUCCUCCCACUUGUGAGAGUGCACACUGGGAGCCAGUUACAUCAAAU